CCUACGGGUGGCAGCAGUGAGGAAUAUUGGUCAAUGGGCGCAAGCCUGAACCAGCCAAGCCGCGUGAAGGAUGAAGGUGCUACGGAUUGUAAACUUCUUUUGUCAAGGAACAAACUGAGGCUCGUGAGCCUUACUGUAGGUACUUGAAGAAAAAGGAUCGGCUAACUCCGUGCCAGCAGCCGCGGUAAUACGGAGGAUCCGAGCGUUAUCCGGAUUUAUUGGGUUUAAAGGGAGCGUAGAGGGGUUGUUAAGGCAGUCGUGAAAGUUUGCGGCUCAACCGUAAAAGUGCAAUUGAUACUGGCAGUCUUGAGUACAGUUGAGGUAGGCGGAAUGCGUGGUGUAGCGGUGAAAUGCUUAGAUAUCACGCAGAACCCCGAUUGCGAAGGCAGCUUACCAAACUGUCACUGACAUUGAGGCUCGAAAGUGUGGGUAUCAAACAGGAUUAGAUACCCUGGUAGUC
rnacentral:rRNA from 1 species